AAUUUGGGUCAAUGGGCGCAAUCGUGACACAGCCAUGCCGCGAGAGUUAAGUAUGCCUCCGGGAUGUAAAUCUCUUCCGGACGAAAAAAAUUCACCGAGACUACUACCCUGCGCGUAUCUCGGUACCGUUUUUAGAAGCUCCCGACAACGCCGUGUUAGCAUCCGCGGUAAUACGUAGGGUGCGAGCGUUAAUCGGAAUUACUGGGCGUAAAGCGUGCGCAGGCGGUUGAUUAAGACAGGCGUAAAAUCCCCGGGCUUAACCUGGGAACUGCGCUUGUGACUGGUCAGCUAGAGUACGGCAGAGGGGGGUGGAAUUCCACGUGUAGCAGUGAAAUGCGUAGAGAUGUGGAGGAACACCGAUGGCGAAGGCAGCCCCCUGGGCCGAUACUGACGCUCAUGCACGAAAGCGUGGGUAGCAAACAGG
rnacentral:rRNA from 1 species